UAUCUCUCUGUACAGGGAAGGAUGAGAAUCUUCGAUUAAGGUUCGACUCGAGCGGAAGCGAGAGAACGUUGCCAACGGCAACGGCCCGAAGGGCGCGACGCGCCGAGUCAUCCUUCCCCUACCAUAA
rnacentral:sRNA from 2 species